rnacentral:misc_RNA from 1 species
UGCGACAGUAGCGCUGCGGCCGGUAGAAAAACGAACUCAUGCCGACAUCGAUCUACUCCGGUGGCGUGUUGAAAGAUUUCUUUUUUACGAACGAAAUAUUGAAAUAAACGCGUUUGCGCGUAAUGUCGGUGGUGCUAGUGCGUUGAAAAUUGUAAAAGAACGUACUGUGCGUGAUAUUUUAUAUAAUGUUACGUGGUUUACGUGCUUAGUGUAAGUUACAAUAGCUUCUCAUUAUAAAGUGGGAGUGAUUGUGUGAAGUGGUACAAAAAUCAUCUUUUUCGCCUAUUGGAGCCAACUGCCGGGUUGUGCAUGACUCCAGGCGGUGUGCACUGAAGGCGUUCAUCACGAGAUAUUGAAACGUACAGUUAAGCGGUGGUUAUGGCGGACGCGGAUACAGAGAGGCUGCCUAACGGCACAGCAGCGCUCUCCGCCGAAGAGGAGGAGCGGCUGAAACAGCGCCCGGCGGACAUCGACGCUGAUGUCCGUGAGAUGGAGCGUCGCAAGCGCGUGGAGGCGCUGAUGUCAUCGAAGCUGUUCCGCGAGGAGCUGGAGCGCGUGCUGGACCAGCAGAUGCACGAGGGAGGCGACGCGCCACUGCUGCAGCGCAUACGCGAGAUGGUCGGCGGGCGGCUGCACACCGGUAGCCUCAGGGGUCCCAGCUGCGUGUUGCCCAUCAACGACAUCCGCGGCAUCGAGGGCAUCGGCUACGAGAAGGGCGAGAAGAUCUUGCGCUGCAAGCUCGCAGCCGUCUAUCGCCUCGUCGACCUGUUCGGCUGGACCCAGACCGGCAUCACGGGUCAGAUCACCGCUCGUCUGAAUACGGCGGUGGAGCAGGUGCUGACGACGCCACGCGGACUGCUGCCGCACGAGGUGACCGCCUCCUCGCUCGUCAAGGUGGAUAUGCAGGGCGCCGUCCAGGACCAGGGCACCACCAACUUCCCCAUCAACGUUGAAGGGUUCUCGCUGCACGCGUCGGUGCACGCGGCGCGGCCGGAUAUCCGCUGCGUGCUGCACGUGCGGUCGCCGGGCGCGCUGGCGGUGUCGGCCACGCGCCGCGGCCUGCUGCCGCUCUGCAACGAGGCCGCGCUGCUCGGAGACGUCGCCUACCACCGCGUGCCGCACGGCAUGCUGGACAACGAGGAGCGCGACAAGCUGGUGCGCGCGCUGGGUCCGCACGCGAAGGUGCUGAUGCUGAGCAGCGCCGGCGCGCUGUGCUGCGGCGCCACGCUGGAGGAGGCCUUCCACCAGGCGCGCCACCUCACCGCCGCCUGCGACGUGCAGCUGCGCCUCGCCGCGCUGCCGCUCGACGAACUCAACAUCAUCGACGAGGACACCAGGAAACAGAUCUACGAGUCGUCUCGCAAGCCUCCGUCGGACGCUACCAAGUGGCGCGUGGGCGGCGAGGAGUUCGAGGCGCUGAUGCGCAUGCUCGACAACGCCGGCUUCCGCACCGGCUACAUCUACCGGCACCCGCUCAUCAAGAACGACGUUCCCAAGCCGAAGAACGACGUGGAGGUCCCUCCGGCCGUGUCCUCGCUCGGGUAUCUACUCGAGGAGGAGGAAUUGUACAAGCAAGGGUUAUGGAAGAAGGGCCAGGGCAAGACCGGCGAGCGCACGCGCUGGCUCAACUCGCCCAACGUGUACCAGAAGGUCGAGGUGCUGGAGACCGGCACCACCGACCCCAAGAAGAUCACCAAGUGGGUGGACGCUAACAACGAAGAGUGGGUCCAGGACGGGUCGCCGGCUCACUCGAGCACCCCGGUGAAGAUCGACACGCUACAGUUUGUGCCCAAAAACACCAACCCCAAGGAGUUCAAGCAGCUUCAACAGCAGAUCAAGGAGAACCGUCGCGCGGAGAAGAUCAGCGCCGGACCGCAGUCGCACAUCCUGGAGGGCGUCACGUGGGACGAGGCCAGCAAGCUCGUCGGCGAGGACGCCGUCAACACGCACACCGGCGAUCACGUGGUGCUGAUGGGCGCGGCGUCCAAGGGCAUCAUCCAGCGCGGCUACCAACACAACGCGACCGUGUACAGCGCGCCGUACGCGCGCAACCCCUUCGACCACAUCACCGACAACGAGAUCGACGAGUACAAGCGCGAUGUGGAGAGGAAGCGCCGCGGGAACGACUACGACACGGACCUGUCGGAGUCGGAGGCGAUCAGCGCGGCGCAGUUCACGUCGCCCGCCAGCGCGCCCUCCGAGACCGAGGAGGAGUCGCGCGACGAACACCGCGUGCUGAGAAUAGAGACAAAGCAGGCGCCCGUACGCAGCCAGCCGGAGGUCGUGCUCAGCGAUGCGGACGCGACCGACUUCUUGAACGCGGAGCGCGCGCACGCCGAUCUCACCAGAGCGCCAGGUCGCGAGGACAUGUUCUCCGACGACGAGGUGUUCCUCGAGCAAAGUCGAAGGCGCCGCCGCAGGGACUCUUCACAACCAGGGCGCAACAUAUAGUCGUGCACAGGGCGCUUCCUAGAGGCGAGCACACCGUCAACGGGGACCAUUCUGAUGCUCAUCAAAGCACCUUCUCUCAUAGCAGUAAAGAGGGCUCGCCAUCAAAAGAGGUGUCGACCGAGGACUCGCCGAAGAAA